rnacentral:rRNA from 1 species
UACAGAGGGUGCGAGCGUUAAUCGGAAUUUACUGGGCGUAAAGCGUGACGCAGAUGGUCAUGUAAGUCGGGUGUGAAAGCCCCGGGCUCAACCUGGGAAUUGCAUUCGAGACUGCAUGGCUAGGGUGCGGAAGAGGGAAGCGGAAUUUCCGGUGUAGCGGUGAAAUGCGUAGAUAUCGGAAAGGAACACCAGUGGCGAAAAGCGGCUUCCUGGUCCCAGCACCGACAUUCAGGCACGAAAAGCGUGGGGAGCAAACAGG